AGAUUGAACGCUGGCGGCAGGCCUAACACAUGCAAGUCGAGCGGUAGAGAGGUGCUUGCAUCUCUUGAGAGCGGCGGACGGGUGAGUAAUGCCUAGGAAUCUGCCUAGUGGUGGGGGAUAACGUUCGGAAACGGACGCUAAUACCGCAUACGUCCUACGGGAGAAAGUGGGGAUCUUCGGACCUCACGCUAUCAGAUGAGCCUAGGUCGGAUUAGCUAGUUGGUAGGUAAAGGCCUACCAAGGCUACGAUCCGUAACUGGUCUGAGAGGAUGAUCAGUCACACUGGAACUGAGACACGGUCCAGACUCCUACGGGAGCAGCAGGUGGGAAUGUUGGACAAGUGGGCAAAGCCUGA
rnacentral:rRNA from 1 species